CCGGUUGGGUGGAGCUUUACCAAAUGUUCCAAAUUUUGAUGCGCUGCCAGUAAUCGGUUUGGAAGAGACCGUACACGACCUCACUGCAGAUUUUGAGUCCGAACCAUCUACAGAUCCUGACAGCUCCACUGCCUCACCAGCUGAUUCAAAUGUGCCAACUCUACAGAAGGCAGAGGACAUUGUUGGUGCCAAGGCAUCGAUUGUGUAUGAUGACUGCUUGAAGUACCUUGCGGCCUUUGUUACACCACCAGUGAAACAGUGCACAGCAAUAAAUGUGACCGGUGCAACAUGCCAACACCAUCCACCAUUCCUGGUAAACCUCAAAGGGAAAGGCACUGCAAGCAUGUUAGAAUGGAGCUGUGCUGAUGGACACAUUGUGUGGCGAUGGGUUUCACAGCCCUUGAUGAAGUAUGGACUCCAGGCUGAAAAGUAGUGUCAGGUUUUCCUGUUUGACCAAUCAAUCAAGCAUAAUUACAAGUAAAUGUUUUGUAUGUUUUAGGACCUGAUUUACAGUUGAGUUCACCCCAUUGAAGCCAGAAUUGCAGCAUCCAGUGUACGCAUAGUAAAAGCCUCCGGCAGAGAGAAGGAUUGGGACCAAUGGCACACCCACCAACAUUAACACUGUCCAUGAAAAUAUGAAAAUAUCUUUCUUUGUCUAGGAUUUAAUUUUAAUUCCUGUAAUGUUUUUUACAGGCUGACUAAAAUUUGUUAUAGUUUUUGCAAGUUUUGUAAAUAAAACAUUGAAACCAA